rnacentral:rRNA from 1 species
UACGGGGGGGGCAAGCGUUGUUCGGAAUUACUGGGCGUAAAGGGCUCGUAGGCGGCCAACUAAGUCGGAUGUGAAAUCCCCAGGCUUAACCUGGGAACUGCAUCCGAUACUGGAUGGCUUGAAUCCGGGAGAGGGAUGCAGAAUUCCAGGUGUAGCGGUGAAAUGCGUAGAUAUCUGGAGGAAUACCGGUGGCGAAGGCGGCAUCCUGGACCGGUAUUGACGCUGAGGCGCGAAAGCCAGGGGAGCAAACGGG